ACCUGGGUGGCUCCGUCAGUUGAGCAUCUGACUUUGGCUCAGGUCACGAUCUCGUGAUUCGUGGGUUCGAGCCCCACAUCGGGCU
rnacentral:tRNA from 1 species